AUAAAAAUAUGGUGAGUUACAUUUAGUAUUAAUUACUCAAAAACUACUUUUUAUUUACACUCAGUUAGAUAUAGUAUAGCUGUGAAAUCACAAUAGCCAGUGUCUUCAGCACUUAAGUCCUGCAUCUUAUUAAAAAAUGAAUUCAAGGUGGAUCACAGAUUACAUAUGUAACAUAAAACUAUAAAACUUACAGAAGAUAACAAAAAAGGAAAUCUUCAGUAAGUAGAACUUGGUGAAAAGUGCUUAGAGAUGACAGCAAAAGCAUGAUCCAUAGAAGAAAAAAUAUGGACUUCAUCAAAAUUAAAAUUUUUGCUUUGUGAAAGUCCCUGUUAAAAGGAUGAAAAGACAAACUAUAACUGGGAGGAAAUAUUUGCAAACUACAUAUCUGAUGAAGAACUACUACUGUAACAAAUACAGAACUCUCAAAACUCAACAGUAAGAAAACCAAAGAAUCCCUUUAGAAAAUGAGCUUAAGACAUGAGAGACAUUUCACUGAAAACCACGUAUGGGUGGCAAAUUAGCAUAUAAAAAGGUGUUCGAUAUCAUUAGCAGUUAGGAAAAUGCAAAUUAAUACCAAGAUGAGAUAUCACUACACAUCUAUUAGAACAGCUAAACAGAAAACAGUGAUAAUACCAAAUGCUGGUGGGCAUUUGGUAUUAUCAUUUUGCUUUGUGAAAGUCCCUGUUAAAAGGAUGAAAAGAUAAACUAUAACUGGGAGGAAAUAUUUGCAAACUACAUAUCUGAUGAAGAACUACUACUGUAACAUAUACAGAAUUCUCAAAACUCAACAGUAAGAAAACCAAAGAAUCCCUUUAGAAAAUGAUGCGGAAUAGCUGGAUCUCUCACACAUUGCUGGUGGAAUGUAAAAUGGUACAGCCACUCUGGAAAAUAGUUGGAUACUUUCUUUAAAAACUAAACACACCCUUACCAUAUGACCCAGCAUUUGCAUUCUUGGGCAUUUAUCACAGAGUAAUGAAGACUUAUGUUCACUCAUAAACCUGUACAGCUUUGUUCACAGCAGCUUUGUAAAUAAUUACCCCAAAAUGGAAAGAACCAAAAUGUUCCUGAAUGGUUAACUUUGGUACAUUUAUACUGUGGAAUACUACUUAUCAAUAAAAAACAACUAUUGUUACAAGCACAACUUAGACGGAUCACAAGAGCAUUAUGUGACGUGAACAAAGCCAAUCUCAAAAUAUCACAUACUAUAUGAUUCCACUUAUAUAGCAUUUUCAAAAUGACAAAAUUAAAGAGAUGGAAAGCAGAUUAGUGGUUGUUAGGGGUACAGAUUGUGGUAGGGAGGAAGUGGGUGAGGUAGGAUGAGUGUUAUCUUUGUGGUGAUGUUAUGAGUAGUGCUGUACCUUGAUUGUUGCGGUUACUAUGAACACACAUUGUACUAAUGUCAAAUUCCUGGUCUUGAAAUUAUACUAUAAUUAUGUGUGAUAUAACAAUGUGGGAAACCAGGUGAAGGAUACAUGAAACCUCUUUAUUACCUUUGCAACUUCCUAUAAAUAUAUAAUAAUUUUAAAAUAAAAAGUAAAAAAAAAAGGUGAUCUUGACAAUUCAAUUAAGAAACAUAAUGGCUUUGUAUUUUGUACCAUAAUUCUAUCUCUGUCUAGGAAUAACUUCCUAACUGCAGUAGGAAGAAGGAGAAUAGAAGAUAGAAAUUAGGGGCUAUGGAAAUUACUAUUCAUUAGUCUCUAUCUCUAAGGAGAGACAUGAAAUUGGCUAGGUCGAAGAAAUAACUAAAAAGUAUUUUUAAAACUAUAAGGACAAGGAAACAUAAACUUUUUAAAAAAGUAAUUACCUUAACAUGAAAUUCAUUGUCCAAUAAGAUAUUCUGAGUCUUCAAGUCAUGAUGAAGUAAAGGAGGAGUCAUAUUGUGCAGGAGUUAGCAAUCCCCCUUGAGGAGGCUGUAGAAUUUCCAGCGAGCUGCAAAUUUGGGUGCCAGAGUAUCUGCUGGGGUGUGGGAAGAAAAUGUUAGAUUUCUACUUAUACUCAUUUCUCAACAAAAAUAAAAGAGAAAUUGUGAUUUAUUAAUAUUUGUAUCUUGGCUCUGUGGUAGUUAUACAAAUCUUACAGACUGACACCAGUUACUUAUUCCAUCCUUGUUUCAAAUGGUCACAAGUCAUGAAUAGAAUGUGAUGUAUUCUGAAACUGAGAGGAAGUUACUCUAUGACUGACUGACAGUGGCACCCACUUUCCCUUG
rnacentral:lncRNA from 1 species